UUUGAUGUAAAUAUACUACAGAACCUUUGGAAUCUGCAACCAAGCAGAAAAGUGAAAAUCCUAGUUUGAUAUGUACAGAAAAAUUGUGAAAAACGGUGUCACUGAUUUGCAGCUUUUACUGUGAGGAGGGACUCUAGGAGCUACAGAAAAAGGCCCUGCUAUCCUGUUGCUCAAUUCUAAUUUUGGUAGACCAUUUCUCUGAACCUCUACAGCAGAACAAGGAAGACAAACUUUCCAUCAAAUAUUCAAAGACAUUCAAAAAUAACAAAAGCUUCAGAUAAGACCAUGUUAUGUCAGAUGGGAGGAAGAAUGUGAGUGCAUAAAGAAUUUCUGAUAAAGGCAGCAAGAUAUUUAAAAGAACAAUGAAUGACUCAUUCCAGUUUUCAUUUCUAAUGUGAAUUUCAGUGCAAAUAAUUAAUGAAAUGUCUUGUUUAUACUAGACUGACAAUGUGAAG